rnacentral:rRNA from 1 species
CCCUUAGAUGUUCUGGGCCGCACGCGUGCUACACUGAGUGGAUCAGCGGGUCAGGUUGCGCGAAAGUGUUUCCUGAUCUUUAAAUCCGCUCGUGAUGGGGAUUGACGGUUGCAAUUUUCCGUCAUGAACGAGGAAUACCUUGUAAGCGCGGGUCAUCAUCCCGCGCUGAAUACGUCCCUGCCCUUUGUACACACCGCCCGUCGCUCCUACCGAUUGAGUGGUCCGGUGAGGCUUUGGGAUCUGAGCGGAAAGAGCGUUUCGCUGUUUCUGCCCGGAAAACUCAGUCGAACCUUAUCAUUUAGAGGAAGGAGAAGUCGUAACA